rnacentral:rRNA from 1 species
AUGCACGCUGGCGGCGUGCCUCAUCCCUGCAAGUCGCGCGCACAGACGAGGAGCUUGCUCCUCUGACGUUAGCGGCGGCCGGGUGAGUAACCCGUGGAUAACCUACCUAUAAGACUGGGAUAACUUCGGGAAACCGGAGCUAAUACCGGAUAAUAUAUUGAACCGCAUGGUUCAAUAGUGAAAGACGGUUUUGCUGUCACUUAUAGAUGGAUCCGCGCCGCAUUAGCUAGUUGGUAAGGUAACGGCUUACCAAGGCGACGAUGCGUAGCCGACCUGAGAGGGUGAUCGGCCACACUGGAACUGAGACACGGUCCAGACUCCUACGGGAGGCAGCAGUAGGGAAUCUUCCGCAAUGGGCGAAAGCCUGACGGAGCAACGCCGCGUGAGUGAUGAAGGUCUUCGGAUCGUAAAACUCUGUUAUUAGGGAAGAACAAAUGUGUAAGUAACUAUGCACGUCUUGACGGUACCUAAUCAGAAAGCCACGGCUAACUACGUG